UACAGAGGUCUCAAGCGUUGUUCGGAUUCAUUAGGCGUAAAGGGCGCGUAGGCGGGAUGGCAAGUCGGUCGUGAAAUCCCUCGGCUCAACCGAGGAACGUCGAUCGAUACUGCUGUUCUCGAGGAUUGCAGAGGAGACUGGAAUUCCCGGUGUAGCGGUGAAAUGUGUAGAGAUCGGGAGGAACACCGGUGGCGAAGGCGGGUCUCUGGGCAAUUCCUGACGCUGAGGCGCGAAAGCGUGGGGAGCAAACGGG
rnacentral:rRNA from 1 species